GGGAACGGCCCACCGCAGGGUUGGCUGACUUGAGAAGCUGCGAAGAUGGCGGAGUAAGGCGUGCCGCUGUAAACUGGCCUUUGGGCCGGGGGCGGGUAGCCCCCGGGAGGCCGAGUGCAUCUGUUGGACCGUGCAAGGAGAAGAAAAAAAAGAGAUCGGCCAGAGGAAAGGAACUAACCAAACAUUCUUCCUCCCUACCUUACAGAGGGGAGUGGUCAUCUACACUAAAGCAAAGUGUCACGCGCAUCCCUGUGAAGAGACCACCAAACAGGCUUUGUGUUCCUUACCACAGGAAGAAAAUUUUCCUUGACCUUUAGGUGCUUUUAUAUUCAUCUCAAAAACAAAAUUCUGAACUCAGGACUUGGCA
rnacentral:lncRNA from 1 species